AUGCAGCUAAUGAGAGAGGGAGGUAAGAUGAGAUAGAGAGAAGGUGAGAGAGAGAGAGAGAGAGAGAGAGUGGGUGUCUCUGUUCUAAAUUUAGAGUCCAGCUAUCUGACAGGUAUUCAUUUCAAAACAUCAAUACCAGCAAGGAAAGAGAGAGAGAGAGAGAGAGAGAGAGAGAGAGAGAGAGAGAGAGAGAAACAGAGGAAAGGUAGAGAAGCUUUAUGCUUAUUGCAGCUGUUACACCCUGUUUGCACUAAUGCAGAUAUUACUACUCUUUUGACCUGGACAUCCCAGUUUACCCACUAACGAGCAUUCUAUUCACAAACAUGAUUCCUCUCAGGCCUUUGACAAAUGGUUGUUUCAGACUUUAUCGCAUUUACAGCGUUUGUUGUUUUUAUGAUCUCGUCUCGACGGAGACAUUUUGUCAAACAAAGGUCGUGUGGACAGAGAUUUUAUUUUAUUUUUGUAAACGGACUGGAAACAUUUUCCAGCAUAGUGUCGACAAGGCCUCGGUCAAUCAAUCAAUCAAUCCGGUUCAAUUACUUUGUGUCACUCCACUAAAAGCCCCCGAGCCACAACAAGAAUCAUGCACGUUGAUCUCGGGGGUGAUUUAAGAGGCCGAGGACCAACGAUGCUCUUCUCCUGCUCGGCCUCUCACGGGACCUCUCCCUUUCUCCUCUGGCGGCUUCGCUCUCUUCAUGUGAGUCUAAAUAAGGAAGUUAUUUUCGCAGCCGUCGUCAUCUCCCCUCCUCUCCCUUCCUCCUCUCCCUCCCUCUCUCCCUCUCUCCGUCUUUCCAUGCUUCAUUCCUCCGGAGGGAACUGCUCUAAUGCAGAUGAGAGAGAGAAAAAGUCAGACUUCUAAACACCGGCAGCACUUCCUUCCUGAAAUCACACAUCGUCCUCCAUCGCUGCAGCGAGAAGCAAAACUUUCAGACUUUUCAAAGCUGAAGAGGCCAACAAAUGGAUUCUUGCAAAUCAGGAAAGCCGGCAACAACAAUUUCCCCUGACGUCCUGCGAACUGCGUGAAUAACGAGAUGUGUGAUGAGAGCCGACCUCCGGCUGCGACUCCCUGAUAAAUGAACAUCCAGCUGAAGGAAGACGGCAGCGAGCGUCCCCACGUCCUGAAGUGUCCCCUUGACACGUCUCUCCUCAAUCAGACGCCUUCAUCCAGGGAUAAUGAGCAGGAAUGAACAAUUCUAACAAAUCUCCACAAACAAACAGACCUGGACAAUCCUGGGAAGACUCUGAACCCCAGAAGGAGAGGUAUCAGUCCAAUACAAAAAGUUAUAAGAUGCAAUAAAGUUCAAAUAUUUUUGUCCAAAAAUCUAAAAGUGUGAAACAAUCAUGAAAAAGACAUAAAAGUUGAACCCAGUAGCAUCCCUUUAAAUUUCCGAGAUGGUUAAUGUUUAUUUUAAAUUAAAAUUGGACUGUUUCCCAAACCAGGGACCUCACAGAUGAUUAUGAGGUUUAAUUGCACUUUUAUAAUGGAUGAAAAAACCUUCGUCGGCCUUAAGAGAUUCAAUAAAGUGACUUGUUACGAC